UCCUCCUCCUUCGCACUCAGAGCAACCCUUCUCUACGGCUGAGGAGACAGCCUUUGACCCGGGGAAGCUCUGGCCAUAAAGGACUGCAGGAGAGGCCUUUCUGGGGCUGCAGGAAUCAAGGUCUUUGUUCUGAAGGAAUUUCAUCUUGACCCCCUUGUACACAGCUUUGGAGUAUCUUUUGCUGAAGUGACCCAAGUGCAAGGGCACCAGGCCCCUCCCCUGCCAUCUGAUGGCCGACACAGAGGCCAAUCGAAGGGAGCUGGGCUCCAACAGAAAGAGGCUGCCGAGGUACAACAAUUCUUUGGUGACCUUUGCGGAUGUGGCAGUAUAUUUCACUGAAGAGGAAUGGAAACUGU